GGUGCGGUGAAUUGUUUGGCGUGGCGUGUACGGCGCGCCUCUGUGUCCUGUCUCCGCUACUAUCAGCGCAACUGGUGCGGCUGCGGGCUGGGAGAGCGGAGCGCUCCGCGUCGGGGGUUGCCUGGGUGACAGUCGGUACUCUCUGUGAGAAAAGCGGUGGGCUUGGCGAUCGUGUCUCCCGCUGCCUUAGAGGCUGCACCUCUGUUCACCACCUCUGUGUCCAGGGUUUUGCCGGUCAUCGGCCGCCACGUCCGGAACAGAACUGCUGUUUUUUGUUUGGCCGUUUUAAUUAGGACUGUGUCCGUAGGAGCAAUUAUUCGGCCGUCCUUGACUCCGUCCACUGUCGUCGGCCGGGCCUACUGUUUUUAAUAUAGCUCCAGCAGGCACCGCCAUUUAAUAGAGUAUUGUUUUUUUGUAUUUAUUUUUCUUGAUUAUAGUAUGUGUUUUGUUUCUUUCUUUUUGUGGAUUUCUUUGUCGAGUUGAGUUGAUCUUUUGUUUAUGUAUGUUUAGUAGUUAUGAUUUUCCGUUAUUAGAUUAAUUUGGAUGUAAUUUAAGAUGUGUUAUAUUGGUCGUGUUGUGAUUUAAGUGUUUAUAUAUUUUGGGUUUGUUUGUUUGUUUGUUGUUGGUGUGUAUUUUCUUAGUAUUAUGUUCGAGUAAUUAAGUCCCUUUUUCUUCUUUUUGUUUAACAGGUGCUGUGGGUUGACACGUGCGGCAGCCCAACUCCCUGGUGGUGGUAUCUUUUCACGAGUCCGUGUUUGGUGUGUUGUGUCACGGGUGGUGUUGUGUUGGAUUUGCCCCUUUUGAUUUUCUGCCGCCGUGGUAAGCCCCAGUCCUGUUCUUAUAUUAUUAUUAGUGGUUUUGCCUUUGGAAGCAUUGUUUUUAUUGUUA